AGAGUUUGAUCCUGGCUCAGAAUCAACGCUGGCGGCGCGCCUAACACAUGCAAGUCGAACGAGAAAGUGGAGCAAUCCAUGAGUAAAGUGGCGUACGGGUGAGUAACACGUGGAUAACCUGCCCUCUAGUGGGGAAUACCGUUGGGAAACCGACGACAAUACCGCAUAAGCUCGAGAGAGGAAAGCAGCAAUGCGCUGGAGGAGGGGUCCGCGGCCGAUUAGCUUGUUGGUAGGGUAAUGGCCUACCAAGGCUUUGAUCGGUAGCCGGCCUGAGAGGGCACACGGCCACACUGGCACUGAAACACGGGCCAGACUCCUACGGGAGGCAGCAGUGGGGAAUCUUGCACAAUGGGGGAAACCCUGAUGCAGCGACGCCGCGUGAGCGAUGAAGCCCUUCGGGGUGUAAAGCUCUUUCGGCAGGGAAGAUUAUGACGGUACCUGCAGAAGCAGCUGCGGCUAACUACGUGCCAGCAGCCGCGGUAAUACGUAGGCAGCAAGCGUUGUUCGGAGUUACUGGGCGUAAAGGGUGCGCAGGCGGUCCUGUAAGUAUGGUGUGAAAUCUCCCGGCUUAACUGGGAGGGUGCGCUAUAAACUGCGGGACUAGAGUGUGGGAGAGGAAAGUGGAAUUCCUGGUGUAGCGGUGAAAUGCGUAGAUAUCAGGAGGAACACCGGUGGUGUAAACGGCUUUCUGGACCAUAACUGACGCUGAGGCACGAAAGCGUGGGUAGCAAACAGGAUUAGAUACCCUAGUAGUCC
rnacentral:rRNA from 1 species